UACGUAGGUGGCGAGCGUUGUCCGGAAUUACUGGGUGUAAAGGGCGUGCAGGCGGGGAGGCAAGUCAGAUGUGAAAUCCCGUGGCUCAACUGCGGGGCUGCAUCUGAAACUGCAUUUCUUGAGUGCUGGAGAGGGAAGCGGAAUUCCUAGUGUAGCGGUGAAAUGCGUAGAUAUUAGGAGGAACACCAGUGGCGAAGGCGGCUUUCUGGACAGUAACUGACGCUGAGGCGCGAAAGCGUGGGGAG
rnacentral:rRNA from 1 species